GAUGAACGCUGGCGGCGUGCCUAAUACAUGCAAGUCGAGCGAAAAGACGAGGAGCUUGUUCCUUUGACGUUAGCGGCGGACGGGUGAGUAACACGUGGAUAACCUACCUAUAUGUGUGGGAUAUUUUCGGGGAAGCGGAGCUAAUACCGGAUAAUAUAUUGAACCGUAGGGUGCAAUAGAGAAAGACGGCUUUGCUGUCACUUCUAGAUGGUUACGCGCCGCAUUAGCUAGUUGGUAAGUUAACGGCUUACCAAGGCAACGAUGCGUAGCCGAGGUGAGAGGAUGUUCGGCGACACUGGAAGUGAAACACGGUCCAUUCUCCUACGAGAGGCAGCAGUAUCCAAUCGUCCGCAACAGGCGAAAACCUGGCAGAACAACGCCAAGUGAGAUAUGAAGAUCUUCGGAUCGUAAUACUCUGUUAUUAGGUAACAACAGAUUUGUAAUGAGAUAUGCCCUUCUUGACGGUACCUGGUCAGAAAGCAACGGCUAACUACGUG
rnacentral:rRNA from 1 species